CUUCCUGAAAUAGCUCAGGGUUAUCUAAGCUGCUGGUGUGGGCCCGCCUGCCUGACAGCCUCCUCCACCCCUCCAGGGAGGGUGGCCCCUCAUCCCUGGAAGUCCUUCUCCUUUAAUCCAGACCUGAAUUCCACAGUUAUUAGACCAAGCUGGAGCCCUUCCAUACCUCUGCCACCAUCAAGUUCCCCCAUACGUCCAGGACAGUACCCCAUGGCUUCUGCCCUCCCUCGGGAAGGUGGUCAGGGCUCUUGAGCUGCCCAGUUAACUCAAAGCCAAGCACAUCCGAAACCGUCUACCUCUCCUACACUGCCAUUGCAGCAGUCAUGUCAAAGACCUGGUGUCCAAUAGCUAGGGUGACUACAGCUAACAUCAAUCGAUUGUCCACUUUAACUUAGCAGCUUAGCCGGGCGGUCCCAGCUACUCAGGGAGGCUGAGGUGGGAGAAUCGCUUGAUUCCGGGAGGCAGAGAUUACAGUGAGCCAAGAUCACACUACUGCACUCCAGCCUGGGCAACAGAGCAAGACUCUAUCUCAAAAAAUAAAAUAAUAAAAUAAAAUAAAACAACACCACCUUUCUCAGACUGCAGCAUAAAAUCUCAGUCGCCUUCUUGAGCCCUUGCCACUGCAGCAGUGCCCCUCACCAGCACCACUGCCCACCCCCAGGCACUGGGAUUCCAAGUCUUCUACAUCACGCAUCACAGAAAUAGAUUUAUGCUGUCAUUUCCCCUCGGCACUUCCCUGCUUGAGAACCUUCUAUGGCUCCCUGUUUCUGAUUGCAUCAAGUCUGAACACAUGUGUCUGGCUCUCAAGGCUCACCCCCACUUGUCUAACAUCAAAUCCCAUGACUCUAAAAUCUCAGAAUAAAAGGACAAUCUUUUCCAUGGAAUAAAUUUAGCAAGAUGGAAAAUUCAUCACAUGUCUUUUCUUUUUCAGUUCACAGGGGGCAGGUGGCCACUUGAUCGACGUCCAUCCCAGCAUUUGGGAGCGGGAUGAGUGGAGCGGUCCUUUGAUCUCUUGCUUUGGUUAUUGGCGGGAGAAGCUAUGCUGAGUGUCCUCUCACCAGAUAGGGCCUGGGAUCCAUGGACAUGUCUGGCCCAUGUCUGACCCCACACUCAGCCUUCUAUCCCCUUAGACUUUGUCUCAGACAUUUGUCUUGAUUUUUUUUUUUAAAUGAGCCCUGCCUAAGCAGGACAUCAAAAAAUUCAGUUAUAAACUCAUAAUUGUCCCUCUCCACGGAAAUCUUUAGUAAAAGGCGAAAGAUUUAUUCAUUAUGAAGAGAAACCACAGCAUUGUCUUGAUUUAUUUUUGAGACAGAGCCCAGGCUAUAGUGCAAUGUCACAGUCUUGGCUCACUGAAACCUCUGCUUCCCAGAUUCAAGCGAUUCUUCUGCUGCAGCCUCCCGAAUAGCUGAGAUUACAGGCAUCCACCACCACAUCCAGCUAGCUUUUGAAUUUUUAGUAGAGACAGGGUUUCACCAUGUUGGCCAGGCUGGUCUUGAACUCCUGAUCACAAGUGAUCACCCACCCGAGCCUCCCAAAGUGCUGAGAUUACAGGUGUGAGCCACCGCACCUGGCCCAUUUGUCCUGAUUUUGUGCUCCUGGAAGCUGGACUCUGUAGGCACGCAGGUGUUUGUGACACUCACUGCUUCCUACUCUGGAGCAGUGAAACCCUUGAGUCUCAGAGGGGCCGGGAGGGAGGGGGCAUCUGGAAUGG
rnacentral:lncRNA from 1 species